rnacentral:rRNA from 1 species
AGUGAACGCUGGCGGCAGGCCUAACACAUGCAAGUCGAACGAGUGGCGGACGGGUGAGGAAUACAUCGGAAUCUCCUCUAUCGAGGGGGAUAACGUAGGGAAACUUACGCUAAUACCGCAUACGAUGGGAUGUGCCGAUGUCGGAUUAGCUAGUUGGCGGGGUAAAGGCUCACCAAGGCGACGGUCCGUAGCGGGUCUGAGAGGAUGACCAUCCACCAUGGAACGGAGACACGGGCCAGACUCCGACGGGAGGCAGCAGUGGGGAAUAUUGGACAAGGGGCGCAAGCCUGAUCCAGCCAGACCGCGUGGGUGAAGAAGGCCUUCGGGUUGUAAAGCCCUUUUGUUGGGAAAGCGGUACCCAAAGAAUAAGCACCGGCUAACUUCGUGCCAGCAGCCGCGGUAAUUC